rnacentral:pre_miRNA from 1 species
GAGAUUUCGUCACACACCAGACCACAAGGGCUGAUGAGACUUCCAAGAUAAGUGAAGCG